AGGGUAUUAGUCCAACAUAAGACCUCUGAUUUCGGCUCAGAAAAUUAUGGUUUGAUUCCAUAAUUCCCUU
rnacentral:tRNA from 1 species